GCUUGUCUCAAAGAUUAAGCCAUGCACGUCUAAGUAUAAGCGAUUAUACUGUGAAACUGCGAAUGGCUCAUUAUAUCAGUUAUAGUUUAUUUGAUGGUCCUUGCUACUUGGAUAACCGUAGUAAUUCUAGAGCUAAUACAUGCAUAAAUCCCCGACUGCUUGGAAGGGGUGUAUUUAUUAGAUGGAAACCAAUGCGGGGUAACCCGGAAUAUGGUGAUUCAUAAUAACUUUCGGAUCGAUUUAUCGAUGCAUCAUUCAAGUUUCUGCCCUAUCAGCUUUGGAUGGUAGGGUAUUGGCCUACCAUGGCUUUAACGGGUAACGGAGAAUUAGGGUUCGAUUCCGGAGAGGGAGCCUUAAAAACGGCUACCACAUCCAAGGAAGGCAGCAGG
rnacentral:rRNA from 1 species